rnacentral:rRNA from 1 species
AGUUUGAUCAUGGCUCAGAUUGAACGCUGGCGGCAGGCCUAACACAUGCAAGUCGAGCGGUAGCACAAGAGAGCUUGCUCUCUGGGUGACGAGCGGCGGACGGGUGAGUAAUGUCUGGGAAACUGCCUGAUGGCGGGGGAUAACUAGUGGAAACGGUAGCUAAUACCGCAUAACGUCGCAAGACCAAAGUGGGGGCCCUUCGGGCCUCACGCCAUCAGAUGUGCCCAGGUGGGAUUAGCUGGUAGGUGAGGUAACGGCUCACCUAGGCGACGAUCCCUAGCUGGUCUGAGAGGAUGACCAGCCACACUGGAACUGAGACACGGUCCAGACUCCUACGGGAGGCAGCAGUGGGGAAUAUUGCACAAUGGGCGCAAGC